GACGAACGCUGGCGGCGUGCUUAACACAUGCAAGUCGAGCGGAGCGGCGAACGGGUGAGUAACGCGUGAGUAACUGCACCCCUCUCUGGGAUAACAGUUGGAAACGGCUGCUAAUACCGGAUAGUGGGGGAUGACUCGCGGCCUAUCAGCUUGUUGGUGGGGUAGUGGCCUACCAAGGCGACGACGGGUAGCCGGCCUGAGAGGGGGACCGGCCACAUUGGGCUGAGAGACGGCCCAAAGUCCAACGGUGGGCAGCAGUGGGGAGCAUUGCGCAAUGGGGGAAACUCUGUUGCAGCAACGCCGCGUGCGGGAUGACUGCCUUCGGGUGGUAAAGCGGUUUCAGCCAUGACGCGGUAGUGGCAGAAGAAGCACCGGCUAACUACGUGCCAGCAGCCGCGGUAAUUC
rnacentral:rRNA from 1 species